GACGAACGCUGGCGGCGCGCUUAACACAUGCAAGUCGAGCGAGAACCGGGGCUUCGGCCCCGGGGACAGCGGCGAACGGGUGAGUAACACGUGGGUAAUCUGCCCUCGGUUCUGGGAUAGCCCGGGGAAACCCGGAUUAAUACCGGAUAGCCUCUCGAGUCCUCGGACUCGUGAGAAAAGGUAGCUUCGGCCUCCGACCGAGGAGGAGCCUGCGGCGGAUUAGCUUGUUGGCGGGGUAACGGCCCACCAAGGCGACGAUCCGUAGCUGGUCUGAGAGGACGAUCAGCCACACUGGGACUGAGACACGGCCCAGACUCCUACGGGAGGCAGCAGUGGGGAAUCUUGCGCAAUGGGCGAAAGCCUGACGCAGCGACGCCGCGUGAGGGAAGAAGGCCUU
rnacentral:rRNA from 1 species